rnacentral:rRNA from 1 species
GAUGAACGCUGGCGGCGUGCCUAAUACAUGCAAGUCGAGCGAACAGAUGAGGAGCUUGCUCCUCUGAUGUUAGCGGCGGACGGGUGAGUAACACGUGGAUAACCUACCUAUAAGACUGGGAUAACUUCGGGAAACCGGAGCUAAUACCGGAUAAUAUAUUGAACCGCAUGGUUCAAUAGUGAAAGACGGUUUUGCUGUCACUUAUAGAUGGAUCCGCGCUGCAUUAGCUAGUUGGUAAGGUAACGGCUUACCAAGGCAACGAUGCGUAGCCGACCUGAGAGGGUGAUCGGCCACACUGGAACUGAGACACGGUCCAGACUCCUACGGGAGGCAGCAGUAGGGAAUCUUCCGCAAUGGGCGAAAGCCUGACGGAGCAACGCCGCGUGAGUGAUGAAGGUCUUCGGAUCGUAAAACUCUGUUAUUAGGGAAGAACAAAUGUGUAAGUAACUGUGCACGUCUUGACGGUACCUAAUCAGAAAGCCACGGCUAACUACGUG